UACGUAGGGUGCAAGCGUUAAUCGGAAUUACUGGGCGUAAAGCGUGCGCAGGCGGUUAUGUAAGACAGGUGUGAAAUCCCAGGGCUUAACUGGGGAACUGCGUCCGAUACUGGAUGGCUUGGAUUUGGGAGAGGGAUGCGGAAUUCCAGGUGUAGCGGUGAAAUGCGUAGAUAUCUGGAGGAACACCGGUGGCGAAGGCGGCAUCCUGGACCAACAUUGACGCUGAGGAGCGAAAGCUAGGGGAGCAAACGGG
rnacentral:rRNA from 1 species